GACGAACGCUGGCGGCGUGCUUAACACAUGCAAGUCGAACGGAAAGGCCCUGCUUGCAGGGUACUCGAGUGGCGAACGGGUGAGUAACACGUGGGUGAUCUGCCCUGCACUUCGGGAUAAGCUUGGGAAACUGGGUCUAAUACCGGAUAGGAGCCAUCUUUAGUGUGGUGGUUGGAAAGUUUUUUCGGUGUAGGAUGAGCUCGCGGCCUAUCAGCUUGUUGGUGGGGUAAUGGCCUACCAAGGCGGCGACGGGUAGCCGGCCUGAGAGGGUGUACGGCCACAUUGGGACUGAGAUAAGGCCCAGACUCCUACGGGAGGCAGCAGUGGGGAAUAUUGCACAAUGGGCGCAAGCCUGAUGCAGCGACGCCGCGUGGGGGAUGAAGGCCUUCGGGUUGUAAACUCCUUUCGCUAGGGACGAAGCUUUUUUGUGACGGUACCUAGAGAAGAAGCACCGGCUAACUACGUG
rnacentral:rRNA from 1 species